CUUAACCGACUGAGCCACCCGGGUACCCCAAGGCAUAUUUUCUUUAAAUCAUUUCAGAAGUGUGAAUGAUAAUACAAGCAUCUCUGAAAAUAUAGGGUAAAAAAGAGAGAGAGAGAGAGAGAGAAAACGAAAAUACAGGGUAAAUAUAAUUUCCCUUUCCACGUGUUAUUCCACACCCUUGAAAUAUAUCUGGAAUGUUCUUCCCUCUUCCCCUUCCCCUUUUUCCAGUAAAUUCCGAUGUGUCCUUUGAGACUCAUUGGAGAAACUGCCUCCUCCAGGAAGCCCUCCCAUACUCCAGCAGUCUAACAUGGCUGCCCUUCUCUGUCUUCUAUAAUGUCCAGGCUUCCUUCUACCUUGGCACUAAUGAUCUAUUUCAUUAACCAGCGAACUCUUAGCUGGUAAAGUGGGCCUUGGCUACCUUUGGACUCCCAGAACCCAGGCAGGCAAGGCCUGGCCCAUGGUAGGUUCGUAAAAGAAGCUUGUCGAACAAACGAAUCACGAAACUGAAUUCCAUAAUCCAAGCCAUAUUUUCUCAUCCGCUCUCAAUAUGGCAUACAGAUUAUACCUCUAGAAACAACCAAGUCCGAGGUUGUGAGAUCAGAGAAUUGGGUCAGAAAGCAAGGUGAGGAGCAGGAAGCCCCACCCCCCGAACGUUCCAGGCCCUCAGCUCCACGCAAGCUCACUAAAGACACAGCAACACGGGGAGGGAAGGAUAACCUUUCUGUCCCUUGCCAAGCUGUAAAAAGGGAUGGCAAGAAAUCAUGCCCUAAUUUUCCUCCUCAGAUCACGCCAGCUUGUGGAAUUUAACCAUGAGAAGACUGAUAAAUCUCAGGACAAAGCCGGAGGACGAAGUCGAUGUCUGGCAUCAGCCAGAUUCUGGAACCAGCCAGAUUCUGGAACCCAAAGUCGCAGAGUCGUGCUGAGUCGUAAAGCUCGCGGAAUGUUUGAAAUGCUCAUAACGCAGAAAGGUUGAAACAGAAGAUAAGGCGGCAGGCAGUGAAGAGAGACUUUCGGCUGAGCCUUGAAAGGCAAGCAGCAUCUCACGGAUGGAAACAGACAGAACCGUCAUUGGUGGAGAGACCAGCCCAGCAGAGGUCCCUGGGGCGGGAGGGCUGGGGGUGGCUCUGUUUGCCUCUGUGUGGAUCAGAGCUCCCAACCUCGGCCCCAGGGGUGAACAUGGCCAGCCACCUGCAUUGACCUGUUUCUCAAGGAUGUGGUAAGCGCUGAUCAACAAAUAAGGCGAAGGACUCGGAAAAUACUGGGCCCUGAACGCGGGCCGAGGGGAAGGGUGCCAGACAAGUUUCCAAAACAACCUGUUUGUUCUUACUGGGCUGACCCUUGCCUCAAGGACAGCCCCCUGCACCCUUCAGUGCUUGCACAAUUUCCCCUCCUGCUGGAUCCAGACUCUCUACAGAGACCACCAGCCCCACGUGAGGGGCGUCCCUCUUUGCAAGACUGUCUUCUUGGGAACACAGCCCUCAUUCCAGCAUCUCUGGAGACAGCAGAUCAGAGGUGGCCGUGCAAGAAUACACCUGCAUCCACCUGCCCCUCCCCCCCACCCAGCUCUCCCCACCCCCGAUCUGGAUCCCUCUGCUGGGGAGGGUGGGCUUUUAGGACCUGCGACCAUGUCCUCCCCUCAUCUCUGAACCUGAUCUGCUUCUGGUUUAUACAGUUCUGCUGAGAUCAUGGAAAAACGAAGCCCAGUCGUAUCUACGGUGUGGCCUCAGUGUUCGCCUCGUGGGGUCACUGCAUUUGACAGCCCGAGAGCCACUCGGAAAUUGCCCGUGGUUCACUAGGGCCAGAUGGGAGGUUCCUCUCUUGCGACCUUAUCUUCCCUUUGCAGCCCUGGUAACUAAUUGCCGAGGGUUGCAAAAUCAAAGAGAAAACAUUUACAAUGAGAGUUGACCUAAAAAAGACUUAGAUGGCGGUCAGCAUACUUUCAGCGCGGCUUGACCUCUUCCAGACAAAGCCCCGGGGGGAGGGGGUGCCAUGUGCUACCAAGAGUGUGGGUUUCAGAGUCAGCCUGAGAACCGGGUUUGAAGCCUGCCUCCCCACCUACUCGUUUGGACAACAGAGCUGACCUCGGAUCACAUUUCCUGUCUCAGAGGGGUUUACGGAUUAACCGAGGCUCCCGCAAGCGAGGUGCAAACACGCGUCGCCUCCUUCUCCCGCUACAGACGUCAGGUUCUCCGUGUCGCAGAUGAGGCCGUCGGAGGACGUGAACGUCAGGUCACUUUCAGCUCCAACUUCCUGCCAUUCCACAAAACUCCAGGGGCAGUGGGUCACUCUCCUUGGUGGGCUCGGUAGUUUGGUGCAUCCCUCAUCCAGCCUGUCCCCACGCCCUGGGCGCAGCUGGUCCUAUAAAACCACAAAGACACAGACCUGGGUGGAAGCUUAGCCCCACAGGCACCCAGGCUACCAAGUUCCACUUCUCCACGUGAAGAGGCUUCUCUGUUCUGUGGCCCCGUGGGUUUCUCCUUCCUGAUUCCUGCCCUGCCUUGAAGGUCACCAGUUGGGUAGAAACGCAUUGGAAGAAACUCAGACCUUAGCCAUCUUCCUGGUAGGUAGCGUCGUGGAUGGAACAUUCCCUCCGCCAGAUGCUGGGAAAUGAAUUCACUCCCCGCAGGCUGAGGGCUGUGGGCCCAUCUGUUCCUCAAAGUUCCUCACCUCUCAAGUGAUAAUCUGCCCUAUCCACUCCUGGACGGUUGGGUGGGCUUUUCUGAUUAUAUCGUGGAUCCUAUGAGCGUGUUCUGGAAAGUAUAAAACCCUGGAAGAAUGGGCGGCAUGAUGACGACUGCAGUUUGGGUCUCCACACCAGAGCUCCAGAAAGGGCCCCUUCACCUGUAGAGGAACAUUCCUUUGUCCCUUUCUCAAGACCAUGCCUGCCGGCCAACCCCUCUUCGGGCAUAAAUGCUGGGGCUCUUUCUCCCUGCGCACUAAACCCUUGUGAAGCGGCCUAGCCAACCCUCCCUGGGAAACCCCACGGGGUAAGCUCUUCCAUCAGCCUCCCGUGGCCUCCAAGAGGGUGACCAUAUGACUCGUGUACCCAGACUGUCCUAGUCUUCUCCUGAUGCCUAGUUUCAUUACCAAUAGCGCCUCCUUUCAUUUCCAAACAAGCGUCCCCCCUUGUGUAAGAAAGCGUAUGGUCACCCUACCUCUAGGCCAAGGGUCACCUCUACCGGCCUGCCAUCUUGCCAAACUGUCAUCCUCAGCACUGAGGUCACUUCACGGUGGCUCACCCCCUUCAGAUGUCAUCUAACACAGAUGUUAUCCCCUAUUUCACUGCUGCCAGAGGGGACACAGUUGUCGUUAUAUAGAAGGAAGAUGAGAGGGCGCCAGGCCCCCGUGUGUCCGUGAGGGACACAACUCUGUUCUGCACCCCCGGCGGGGGAGCACUUUUCCUCUUCUCCGCAGUUCUCCUCUUGCCCAACUCUUUAUGUGAAGGCGUACCUCCACCAAUAUCAGCCCCCCUCAGCCAGGGCUGUCCCUGGUCGUGGCUCCCAAGGCCUUGAAGUGGCUGCCGUCUGAGGAGAGGCCCACGGUUGCCAAGGACGUCGUGGGCCAGACAGACGGAAGCUCCUUAUCCCUCGGGCUGACUGUUCUCUGCCGUCGCCACACCGCGUCAAGGGCAACUUGCACGACGUUUGAGGAUGCCACGGAUAGUUGAACUGCUCAUGUUUGGACGUUUUUUUCCCCUCCUCAGCCGGCAACGCUGUGGCUUUUUUCUUACCGGCUUGGAGAGGGGACAAACGCCUUCUAGAUCACCUCAUGUCUGCCACGGUUUGUAGUUAUGUGACUUCCGCCGCCGUGUGCCUUAGAGGGACAGCAAGGACACAGGCACUGCUCCCACUUUACAGCUGGGGAAACUAAGUUCAGAUAAGGAAAGAAGUCCUGGUCGUCAAGUUGACCGAGCCAAUCAGGCCUCCUUCUAGAAAUAAUCAAGCCUUUGACCAAAUGGUUCACGCACAAACAUAUUCUCUGUCUCUCUCUCUCUCUCUGUCUCAGACACACAUACUCACACAUUCACACAAACGCUGCUGUUCCCCAGGGGACUUCGUAUGGUUUCCCUGGUCUGGUUUUACUCAUGAUACUUUCCUACUUCCUGGCUAUAAAUAUACCAAGGUCAAACCUGUCUCUUAGUUUCACUCUACCAGCCAAAUGAGCAGUUACUCCGAAAUGAGACAGCAGGGAGCCGCCAGCCAAGGGAGAGGCAACAGAUUUGCUCCGUCCUGGACAAAGCCAGCAUUUUCUUUGUGUUUGGCCUUUUGGAUGCCGCCGCGAGAGCGCUGUCCAGUGAAGCCAAGUCCCAUCACCCACUCUUGGUCCCCGAAAGGCGUGGGGUGGGCAAGCACUUCAGAUCCCACCUACCACAGACGGGCGGAGGCCGGGCCCCCUCAUUGCCAGCCACGAGCCCAGCUGAGAAAACCCACCUUCAGCCUUUUCAGCGGGGGCUUCAACCCUACCCCAGAGAAGCUACCUCUUCUGACUCCCCGUCCCCCUCGGUAACGCACAUACAGAGCAAAUUCUUCCUCCCUUCCUCGUAGACUUCAAGUCAAUGUUUCUUUCAUUACUGUUGUUGUUUUGAAUUAAAAUACAGCCGUACGGUA